rfam:Microbial mat metagenome hsmat09_BHWY6838_b1, whole genome shotgun sequence.
CCAAUCCAGCGCAUGCAACGGUUAGCAGCCAGCAUGGAAUCGAACCGCACGUAUGAGGAGGCAACGAAUCAUGCGAAGCUGCGGUAAGAGCGUCUCGUCAGCCGCAACGCAAGUGAAGGUUAUAAGCCCCGAAAUGUCCCUAUGUGCGACGGGCCAAGGGUUUCAUUCCCCCGAAGCCAGCAUCGUGCCGUCCGCUACGCGAGGACGGCACGGCACGCCGGGGUCCCAGACCG